UACGGGGGGGGCAAGCGUUGUUCGGAAUUACUGGGCGUAAAGGGCUUGUAGGUGGCCAACUAAGUCAGACGUGAAAUCCCUCGGCUUAACCGGGGAACUGCGUCUGAUACUGGUUGGCUUGAAUCCGGGAGAGGGACGUGGAAUUCCAGGUGUAGCGGUGAAAUGCGUAGAUAUCUGGAGGAACACCGGUGGCGAAGGCGACGUCCUGGACCGGUAUUGACGCUGAGGCGCGAAAGCCAGGGGAGCAAACGGG
rnacentral:rRNA from 1 species